rnacentral:rRNA from 1 species
AAGCACUUAUGACCAGACUUGGACCCGGUGAAUCAUCCAGCGUUCUCGCUGGUGCACUUUGCCGGGCUCAGGCCAGCAUCGGUUCGGGUGGUCGGAGAAAGGCGGGGGGAAUGUGGCUUCCCUCGGGAAGUGUUAUAGCCCCUCGUGGAAUGCGACCUACCUGGACCGAGGGCCGCGCCUCGGCGAGGAUGCUGGCGUAAUGGUGGUCAGCG